rnacentral:tRNA from 1 species
UCCCGCGUGGCUCAGUUGGUAGAGCAUGGUGUUUGCAACGCCAGGGUUGUGGGUUCGAUUCCCACGGGGGAC